CUUAAACACAAUAAUGCCCACUUUGCUAGGGAACUUGAUAAUAAUGCUGAUGAAUGAUGAUAGGAUAAGAUACACGCAUGUCAGAGAUAUAGAUCUGCCACUAAUCUAUGACUCUACCUUUUUUAAUUUUUUUUUUAAAAUUUUUUAUCUAUAAGGACAUAAAAAUCAGUGAGAAACUUUGCCUUUUGGUGAAGCAACUUUCAAAAGGGUGCUUAUAGUUAACAUUUUGAAGGUCAGUGUCAUAGUUUGGUUCAUAUUUUUCUUUGUUUGGUAGACUUAGUUUCUCACUUGAAUAAGAGGGUUUAAAAUUACAGAUUGUGAAGGAAAUAUGGCAUGGAGUUUCGUUUAGCAGGUAAAGCACUAAGAGUCUAUAGGUUCUAGACAAACCGCUAUAUCAAGGACGUUAUACACCUAUGGAUGGGAUUUUUUACUGAUAUUUUCAAAAUAAUAAAAUAGAAAAGCAGCUUAAAGACAUGGAUGCGGACACAUGAAAAUGUAGCACAAAUUGUGGUCAUUUGAAGUAUUAUGGGCAAUGAGCCAUAGCUCACAUGGCAUUCUACCCCCUCCCCAUCUCAAAGGUCUCGGGUUCGAGUCCUACCAGUUGCAACCGAGAAGAAAAAAUUAGUAAGUAUGUGAGUAUGUGAGUAUGUGAGAAGUAUGUAAGUGUGUAUUGUGUACAAGAACUAUAUUCACUGUUUCGGAAACUUUUGGAUCAAGCUUCGUGCACGUACCAUGCCAAUAGUGGAAGAGGACAUUGAUAUAUCAAAGUCAGUGAUAUUGUUCAAUAUAUGACUUCCUCAAUGUUUUUCAUUUUUCUUCCUUUGGAGCAUGAUGCCAUGCUCUGAACCUUUUUGUAAAGAGAAAUAGAGAAUAGAUGCUAUAACACUCAAAUUCUUGGAAAUUCAAAAUUGAAUCCCUCUAUAA